CAUGAGCGCGCGGCCCGAGCGGAACCUGGAUUCUGUCUGAGAGCAGCGACUGGAAAGAGGCGAAGAAAAAGCUUUGCUCCAUGGAUAAAGAGAAGAGGAGGGAAAUGUACAGGAUUGAUUUCAUUCCUCUACAGAAGAUUUCUGUCUGGAGUCCCUCAGUGACUCCUCUUGUAAGCCUCGGUACAAAGUCAGUGAAGAGCUGAAUAAGAAAAUAUCCCUCUUCAGUGGUGACAUCACAAACGCAGUCGCCAACACAGAUGUUAUUCACCCCGUGGGGCCAAUAGUCCAUGAGAGAGAGAGGAACAAGCACUGAGAAACUGUUUUUAUAACUGUCUGCACACAGCAACUAAGAACCACCUGCGGACUGUGGCUUUUCCAUGCAUCUAUACUGGAGUGCACGGAUAUCCCCCGAUCAAGCUGUCGAAGUUGCCCUGAGAACAGCGAGAGAAUACCUGGAGCCAAAACCACGAGAAGGUGUGUGUGUCCUUUCCCUGUUGGUGUUCUUUUCUUGCCAUUGUUGUAACUGUUCAAAGAGGAACACACCGUAGCAAACAGAUGGUGGCUGCGUAGGGAGUUACUUUUCUGAGUCAGCAUGCACACACACACAAAUAUAACCUCGCAGUUUUAAUUGGUUCCUAACGGAGCUUGUGUAGGCUUCACAGAACAGCACAAAUACAACAAAUCAACAAACAUAUUGACACAAUCUCUGGCCCCUGUGACUCAGUGUGAGUCCAGACUAAAUUAAACAGGAAAUGAGCCAUCAGGGUGUCUUUGACAAAACUUUUGCACAUCUCAUACUGCAGUCUCUCUCUCUCUCUCUCUUGCUUCCCUGGUCACAUCUGGGUCUUUUUCCCCCUCUGUCAUCUCUCACUGAUCUGUCUUUCCUGUCCUGAGCUUUCAUCUCACUCUGCGCUGCGUGCUUAGUUGCUCUUGCCUUCUUUUACGCUACAGACAUACAAAUGACAGAGACACCUUAAUUACAGCACACUAAUUAACCAGCACUUUGCUGCUUGCUAAACCUACCACUUACCAUAUCCAUCCAGAAAAAUAGUACACAAUGGAAGACAGUAUUAGUUUUGUAAAUUUGUAUAAACUUUUAAUUAUUAUAUAUUUUAUCAUAUUUUUAAUUGAUUCUACUUUUAUUGUUUUUACAAUUGUGUCAUAAUGUGUAUUGCAUUUUCUAUAGCCCCUUUCACACUUCCAUUCCGGCAAAUACAGGAGUAAAGUGUUCCGGCAAUUGUUCCUGGGUCGCUAGAUUUUGCACUUUCACACUGCCAGUGAUUACCCGGGAUCUGUGUGUGCUUUCACACACAACCAGUAAAGAUCCCAUAACGACACUUGACAUUAGGGCGUGACGUGUAAUGUACGAGUCGAAAAUGUUAGGUACGUUAUACUUUCACUGAAGCAAGCGAACGAUAUCGGCAUCAGCACGGAAAGUGAGGAACUAACUGAUCUCUGCUUCAUUACAGUUUGCACAUAUUUUUUCGUCGUGAGCGUUGAUCUUCCUUCAAAACAGCCGGUAAAAGAGUCGCGCGAUAACGUGCGUCAUCACUACGACACGUCAUUAGAUCUGGCUUUUGUUCACACAGCGCUGAACCCGGCAAUGUGACCCGGGUUCAAUGCCUGAAUCAAUCCCGGGGACGUCUUUGCUUUCACACAGAAGGCAACCCUGCAAUGUUCCGGCAAUAUGCCGGGUCUGACGUGCAGUGUGAAAGGGGCUUUUGAGGAGGCAAACAAUAUUUGGAUGAGAAAAUAAUCAACAUUACUAAGAAAAAACGUACAAAAUAUGUCUGUGUACAUCUAAGACCAUGUUUUUUUAAAGAGUAAAUGUGAGGAGUAAUUAAAAAAUAACGGCAAAAAGUUACAUAAAAGAAAGCGGUGCCUUCACGCCGGUGUGAUUGGCUGAUUACACUGUCAAUUUGAUAACGCCCACCUAUCAUGAUCGCAGCCAGUCUGUGAUUAGACCUGAAUGCGUCAGGCUAGUAUGGACUGACUAAUUAAUUACAGAGUGAACAACUCACCCACUUGGACAAAACCACUCAUGUCUGGAUCAAAAUCAACUUGAAAUGAUGAUGAAGACAUGCGAGUGAGCCAUUUUUUAGUGAACACUUAGCUUAGUUAAAUUAAAUUUACACAUCCAUUUAACCUUUUUUAUUUGUUCUUUUGUUUUGGAAAGAAGGCAACUAGUAAUAAUAACAAACAGCACAAAAUAUGCACUUUUUUAAAACAAAAACUUGACUUUUAUAUAAUUUAGUGUUACAUUCUGUGUUAUUGUUAAUAUAGCAUGCAAAUAUAAACAAACAAAAUAUUAUAGUAUUAUUUUCUCAUCGAUAGUGUAUGGUAAAUAGUUUGCUAUAUGCUUUUUGCCCAGAAACCAAACCGAAGAUUUAACCUCGUCAUUUCUGUAGCGCAUUUACAUAUGUGCAUGUUUAUAAUGUUACAAAUGCUUUGGCAGUGUAAAGCUCAAUUUUGAAUCUUAAUCAGACAGACAAAGCGACACAGGAUGAGUGAGCCAGAGAAGGGAAUGAAAAAAGACAAUGCUUCAAGACUAAAGAGAGAAAAAUGAGAGUGAGAGAGAUUUCAGCGGCAGAGUAGGAGUGCUAGCUGGAUGCAAUGAUGUGUUACAGGAACAUGAUUAGAAGCAGGAACAGCCCACCUGCCCUCACCACUGUUGUCAUGGAGAUGGAGGUUCUAGGAUGCUGGCACGGAUCUCCAUGUAUUCUUUUUAUGUUGUUGCUUGCCAUGAAGCAUUUGGGACUGGAGCUGGUGUUCUGUCAAGGACAGUUAGGUCACUGGCACUGCGCCUCUCCGGCUAGAAAGACUCAGACAUUAGAAUAUGCUAAGCGAUUGCACCCAAGUGGUCUUUUUCAGAAGACCCUCUCUUCACACAAGACUGAGAAGGUUACAGGUAAAAAAUGACAUGUGAAUUGGAUAAAUGAACAUCUUUCUUCAGUUAUAUGGAAUUUUUUAAGUGCAAUUCACGCCACAGAAAAUAAUCUCAGUUUAAAAAACAAACACUUUGACAGAAAUGCACUUGUAAUGGAGUUCUAGAAGAUGUGCAGUUGUUGUUUUAAAAAAAUUAUUUAGUUUCGUAAUCGCUUUUAUUUCAUUUUCCUAUAUUCACAUUUGUAUUAUUAGGAUGAAGUUUUUGAUAUAUUAUCACAGUUACAUUCUUCUCAGUUGUGUCUAUGAAGUAUUGUCGGUUUCUGCAGUAGCAGAAUCAGAGCUUGAAUGUGAGAUUCUCUGUGGUCAUUUAUUUUUUAUUUCCUGUCUCUUUUUCUGGUUUAAUCUGCUGUCAGCUGGACCGGGUCAUCUUGUGUGUGUUUCUGAAGUCUGACAAAGAGCUCUAUGAAACAGUGUUGCCUGCAAGCUUCCCACAAGGUUCACCGCCAAAUAGCACAUUAUGAGAGGAUGGCAUAGUUGCUGUGGAAACGCCACACAAUCUGCUUUUCCGUCACAUCACUGUCUCGCGUUUACCUGAUGCAGCCCCUACAAACAACAACAACAACAACUGCCUGACACCUGAUUUAUUCAUAUCACCAAACCAGUGCUCCACGGAAUUCAGUGAUUGCUGUUAGCUUCCCGUGGGGAAUCAUUGCUAUUGUAUUUGUGUUAAUAUUAAUAACAAUGUGGGCUUACAAGUGGGAGUUCACCCCCAAAAUUACACAUCGAUAGCAUUUCUUUCUCCUGUUUUUCUUUUUUUAAUUUUUUUUUUGGUCUGUACUGUGGAAGUGAGUGAGGUCCAUCUCUAUCGAGAUGACAGAAAUAAUAUCAUAGCUCUGCAUGACCAUUUAUGUCUCAAAUUCUGUUUCUUUAAAAUCUAUUUAUGGCUAACUCUUAUUAUUACUCCUUCCAGGAACAAUUUUCCACAGUUGCACUAAAUUAGCUUUGAAAUUAUAACAUGUAUCAUAUGUGAAUAUUGUUUAUAGAGUUAUAGAAUAUAAAUUGAAUGAAGGCAGUCAAAGGAAGAAAAGGAGCAUGUCAAUGGUUGUAACACAACCUUUAAUGAAAGUGCACUAUUUGUACUUCUUCAAUGUACUUUCUGUCUUCCAGUAUGAUAAAAGACCCUCAUUAAAGUCAACUCCUCUCUCUGAGCUAAUGGCUGGGGCUGCUCUUAAUGCAGCUUUCAUUAAUUACACCGUAAGUUUAUUGUAUUAUGUCAGCAAUUUGAUUUAGAACAGAUGAAAUAUUUUGAAGUAUUGAUGCAAAUUGAUUGUCAAAUUCCUCGAGAAGAACUCUUAAUUGUUUUGUGACAUUUCCUUCCCACUCGUUUCGUACGAUACGAUUCAAGCAUCUUUCAUAGCGCUUUCCAAAAAAAGAUGAGUCUUCUUUCAUCUCACCAUGCUGCUAUAUCUGUGAAAGAAAGGAGAGUGUGAGGGAGGCAGAUGAAAAAGAGAGAGGGGGAAAAAUGAGUUUAAUAAAUUCAUCUGAAGCAAUUUUCAUUUUUUAAUAAGCGACAUUCAGCUCAGAUACUGUCAUCAGGCGAGCUUCUCCAAAUAAUGAGAGCGGAGGAGAAAAGAGAGAGAGAGGAAGAGCUCAGCAGAGUAAUUAUCCUAAAUCCAGACUUCAUCACCGUCCCAUCAGCACUUCUCUCUUCCUUUCCUCCCUCUUGCAAUCCAGCUCUGUGUCCCUCUCUAGCUCUCUUAGUAAAGUGGUGGCUAUUUAAUUUGCUGGAUUGGCACAGUGAAAGCACCAGUGCGGGGCUGCUGCUGAAAUAGUAACCCUUCAGUGAUGAUUACACUGGAGUGCGUCGUAUACGCCAGCAGCAGAAACACGGCGAGAUGAGAGCUCCUCUUCUCUUCUCUCUCGCCUUAUCUCUCUUUCCCAUGCCCUGGUGCACUGGUUUUCGAUGAUCCUAUCGUUUCUCUCUCUCUGGUUCCCUCCAGCUGUGUAUCGCCAGACUCAUAACCCCAGAUUCUGCCAGUCAGACGGAGCUCGCUAUCACUCGCAGCCCUGCCAUUUCAUCCUGGUGCUCUGCCGCAGUUUAUAGCCACUUCAGUCUGGUUUAAUCUUGUAGGUGCAGCCAUGGCUUUUUGAGCCAAGUGGAUUUGAAUGUGGCUUCCCAAAUAGUUCAUUUAUUUUUUAUUAUUAUUAUUAAGUUACCAGGAGAAAAAAAAAAAAAGGAAAAAUCCCUAGGCCUAUAUCUCUACAUUUUGGUCUAACCAAGUUGUAGUUGCUUAGCAUUUUUUAUAUAUUUUUUUAUCCACCCUCAUGUCGAUCCAAAAGCACAGGAUUUUUUUUCUUUCCUCAUUGAACUCAAAAGGUCAUUAAAAUGUCAACGCUAAUGCAUUCCAGACAAUGAGAAGUUGCAUUUUUGUUCAGUUUAUUUAAAAUAAUCCUGCAUAAAUGUGUGUGUGAACAAGCAGCAUGCUCUCGUCCCUCUGGCCUGUGCUGGCUGUGUAGUUCAUCAUUAACAUUUACCUUUUUUAAAACAGUCUUAAAAUUCAAUAUACUCGUUUGGUUGCUAUUUUGGUCUUUGAGAUAUUGCAAAAGUUUUGUACUUAGUUCAGCACCUUUGGUCUUGACCGUUCCCUGCUUAGUCAAAUAACAAAGUUGUAAAUGAGCGAUGACACAAUUUAUAGAUCAAACUGAAGGCUAGUCCACCAUGAGAUCCCUCUGGAACUUCUUAAGGGUUUUUAAGAUCCCUAUUUUUGAUGUAUGAGUGCAGUACGGUCUGUGGUUAGCAUUACUUGAAGAGAUUUUUACAUUUUGUUCUAAAAUAUAAAUUAUACACAGUCACAUAACUCUGAAGUUGCUGUAAGCUGCUAGAUAAGGAUCAGAAAAUGACUCAUAAAGGUUGUUUUUUUUUCAGUAUUUAGGACUGCAAACUGUGAAACUCCACAAAUGCACGUACUGUUUUGGGACGAGCAUUUUUAAGACCGUGAACUUGGCUAUCAGGAACAUUCUAUGUCAGGUGUUAAAUAUUUUUCUGCACGUUUUUUUAUUUAUUAUUAUUAUACUGCAAAUUGAUGCUACAUCCAGGCCAUAUUUUUAGUUUAUUAACCCACAUUUAGUUUAUUUUUUAGUAGAAAAAAAAACAGUAUGGUGUUUUUUUGUUUUGUUUUUUUUUAAUGCUCCUUGCGAGUCUAAAUGUUAUUGUUAAAUCAUGUUUACUUAAGGUAUCAAUGGCAUUAUAUGUGUUCAAUACUUAUCAUUUGAUACAAUAUCAUUACCACACCAAAAGCAAAAAGUGUAGAUGAAAUGCUCUAGAAUAGUUCUAGUGUAAAAUGCAGUGUGAUUGUGUGAUUACAGCCCCCACAAGCUCCAGGGCCUCUAUGUAUAUACGAAGACAGCAAGCUACUAAGUUGUAUAAAAAAAAAAAAACUGUUAUUUGCAUUUUGAUCAUGCAUUGAGAGAACAGAUACCUCAUCACAUCGAGAGAGCGGGUGAGCAGGUAAAUGAGAGAGAGCGAGAGUGCUGAAAGCGUCGGAUGGGGUCAGCAGGAGUUGGUUGCUGAUGUUUAUGGAUGCUGGAGGAGACGCUGGCGUGGGGGAGCUGCUUGUGAAAUGAAAAUGGAUCUUUAGCAGAACCCAGGACACUCUGCUGCCCCUCAAGAUCAAUUCACUGAUUUACUAGCUGAAAGCCUGUCAGAGCUAAACACCAGCGUUAAACUCGGGUAGAGGAGAGGAUGUGGGGGUGACGGAGCCUUUAAGGAGCCAUCAGGACUUUCAGUAGAGUUACAUAUGAAGUUUCAAAUGCCCCAGAAUUUGCUCACAUCUCAGAGGGAGCAGCAUGUAGGUGGUUUUAGGUGGCAGCUCUUUUGUGCCUAAAUGAAUCCUUUAAUUAAAUACGCUGUUUACUUUUGUUCUUCUCCAGUAAGCACUGCGGCUGCAUAACACAUUGUGAGGGAAUUAUUUUUCGUGAAGUGUCAGUGAAAGCUUCAUCUCCUGCAGAGCGUCUGCAGCCUGUGUGUGUGUCUGUGUAUCUGCUAAAAUAUUAAAGAUGUUUACUGUAUUGUAUGGGAGAGGUGAUAUCGUCUCUCUGUCAGACAAAUGUGUAGGAUAUAUUUAAUUUAAUAUUCCUAAUAUAAUAUUUAACAAUUGCAAGUCCCAAGACCACAUGGAGUAGUUAAAAUAACAUUAUAGGUUGUUUACAGCAUUACUCUGCAGCAACAUGGUGCUGAGCAUUAUUUCCUCAAUAGUAUUCACCUAAAGAAAUGUUCUUAAUCAUAACUGCUUUUCACACAGAAUGCGUUGUUUCCACCAGACAUGCAGUGCAAUGUUUAGCUCCAACUUUCCCCAACACACCUGCCUGGAAGUUUCUAGUAUGCCUAGUAAGACCAUGAUUAGCUUGUUCAGGUGUGUUUAAUUAGGGUUGGAGACCCAUGAUAAACUCUCCAGUUUGGUGACCCCUGCUUUAGGCUACUUUAACUUUGAGUGCUGCUUGGCUGUCUGUGUUUGUUGUUGUUUUUUCGGGCCAGAGAAAAAAAAUUGUUGUGAAAGUGAUCAUAGCCUACUAUUUUGAUUUAGGCUACAUCAAUAAAAGGCAUUGUGUCAGUUGCUGUGUACAAACCAUAAAUGUUGCAUUUGCUAUUAAAAAAAUACUAUGUUAGAUGGAGCAUGAGUGCUUAGUGUGAUAAUGGAACAGCGGGACAUUUGUGGGCAAUAUAUGAUUUCCUAUUCGCUCCAUUAUAAAAUGAUCCAUUGUUUCUUUAUCCUGCUUGGUUCUAUUUUUGUCAUAGAUCUUGUAUUUGUACAAUGCUCUGAGUCUGCCCACACUGAAUGCACUACCACCAGUGAUGGAUCUUUUCAAGCAUUCGCAAUUAUUUUGACUCGCUUGCAUUUUUUCUAUGCCAUUCUUCUCUGGUUUUGAGGCUUACCUCUUUUUGCACAAUUUAACUACCUACCCAGUUUUCAUGAUAUGCACUUUAUAUAGCCUAAAUUCUUUAGGAAGUUUAUGCUAAGAAAAAAUAUGUUUUAAUGUUUUUCUUGAAAUGUGAGUUGUGCUGUCAUUAUGUUGGAUUUGGCCUAAAGCAGUAUUCACUAAGUGCCUUGUUUCACCAGGCAAAAAUGCAUGUCAGAUUGCUAGACUAAAUAAGAAAAAUACUAGAAGAAAAAUAAGUUUCAGGUCAGAAUGUAAAUCGUGUGUGUGUGUGUUGUUUUAAUAGAAUAAAUACUUUCUUUUAAGGUUUUAGUGUUCAUCCAAAUAUGAUUGAAAUAGAGGGCGUGUGUGCAUGUGUGAGUGGACAGUGUCUGAGUGCUCUCCUCUCACCUACCUCGAUUUUAUUUUUAUUUUGAAUGUUUAAUGUAUUAAAAGGGCCAGGGUAAUGAAUUAUAAUCUUUAAUGCAGAGAGCGAUCGAUACCUCCACAAAAUAAAUCAGCUUUUUACUGAGAGCGUCAAAGCCUUUAAUACACUGGGGGAGAAACAAGUGAGGGAGGGAGAGGAGGAGAGCGCGCCAGGGAGGGAGCAUGACAGGAGCUGUUGAUGGAAGGAGAGAGCAGGAACGAAUGGGGUUAGAUGACAGUGCUUCAGAAAGAUACUGUCACCGGUGACCACAUUUCAGAUGAUCCCCACAAAGUCUUAGUAUCUUCAACAAACUCCAGGGAGUCAGGAGGUCACAUCUCAUCUUGUAAUAGCUAUAUACGAUCUGUUGCAUAUAAAUAUGUGGUGGCUUUGUUUUAAAGUCUCUAUUACAGUGGCAAACAGCUCAUGAGAUCUCAUAAUAAUCAUUCUCCUCUCAAAUUCUCUGGGGGUCUUCUAAUUUUAGCCGAAAUUCUAACAACUUCACAAUUGCUUUUCUUUGUUCAGCUGAAAAAAUAGUGUUUUUUGCAUCUUUCAGACAAUUCAUUGAUUUAAAGUGCAUCGUCUAAACAUUCUGAACGCAGAAUCUUUAAGACAUUCCCUGAAAUGUUGUCGACUGGAUGACAGUCUCUAAACUGUGCAUCGUGGUGCUCAGUAUAUCAUCAAUUCAUCGACGAAAAGACGAAAAGGUUUGCGGACUGACGCAUUUUGAUUAAUGUUGCCAUGACAACUGCAUAAUUCUUGAAUUGUAUUAGCGUUCCAUUUGUCGUUUUUGAGUUAUGAUUCACCCCAGCCAAGGAUUGUCAAAAAAAAAUAUCUUUAGCCGCACCCACGUUGUUUUAAGACCCCCAUCAUCAUCUGCCUCCUUCCUAAAUGUCAAAGUCUCCAAAGUGUCAGCUUUUUUUUCCAAACGAGACAGCAUGAAUUAAUCUGCUCUCAUAAAUAUCUUUUUAGCAUCAGUUUGUAUAAGACACUCUCAUAAUUAUACAGACAAAAAGGCACCAGCACACCAACCACUGGGCAUUAUAGUGUCACAUCUCAGUGAGGAUAAGAACUACAACCCCAUCCACUUUAUAAAGAAGUACAAUAAUUUAGUAUAAUAUUUCAUAAAAGUCAUGAUAGUCGCAUGUCUAUAAAUAUAUGGAG